AGUGAGAGCAGUGAAGCAGAAAGAGAAGAAUUCUCCAGAAAAUGCUGUGUCUUGUUACAGCCGAGAGAAGCUUAGACCAAACAUAGAUUCUAUAGGGACACUGAUUGUUUUUUAGCUCAGAUUGUAGAACUUGAAGCCUAUCAUGAUGGAAGUGGUCCUGACUAGACUGGGAGAUUGAUGCCUGUAAGUCAGCCGGGCCCGUUGUGUCCAGGGACCCACGGACCACCAGAGACCCCUGCCUGGAGGAAGACCUCCAGAUGGAGGGCUGCAUUCCCGGAGAAGAGGGCAGCUGACCCUACAAACUGGACAUUGAGAGUGCACUGGCCUGGCUGCACAGGGAACUGAUGAUCAUGGAAAAUGGAUUGCGAUUAUUCAGCACAUUUACUAUGGAGAUGCAAUCUCAGGACCAGGCCUUGAUUACAACAGCUGAUGGACCGCCAGGAAGAAGAGGAGGAGAACAUUUACAUUACAUUUAAGUCAUUUAGCAGACGCUCUUAUCCAGAGCGACUUACAAAUUGGUGCAUUCACCUUAUGACAUCCAGUAGA